rnacentral:rRNA from 1 species
UACGAAGGGGGCUAGCGUUGCUCGGAAUCACUGGGCGUAAAGCGCACGUAGGCGGAUUGUUAAGUCAGGGGUGAAAUCCUGGAGCUCAACUCCAGAACUGCCUUUGAUACUGGCGAUCUCGAGUCCGGGAGAGGUGAGUGGAACUGCGAGUGUAGAGGUGAAAUCGUAGAUAUUCGCAAGAACACCAGUGGCGAAGGCGGCUCACUGGCCCGGU